ACGGGGCAUGGCAACACCCCAGAGCCAGAAUCCAGAGCACCGCUGAGAAGGGCAGUAAACGCCUGGCGCAGAAUAAUAUUUGGGCAGGGUGUUCCUUGAACCAUGGGACCCUUGGAGUUUUCUAGGUUUUCCUCCUCCUGCAACCCUAUAAGCUACAGGUGAUAAAUAAUUUCUUCAGUCCUAGUGGCGCCUGGUGUCUCCGUGGAGCACCCUGGUUGGCCCCCAGACGAGGCCACCGUGAGGGCUGCAGUUGCAUCAUUGGAGCCCAGGAUGGAGGGGAGACUUGCGACAACUUUGGGGGACCCCAAAGCCUUUCUGCUUAGUUGGUGUUGCUUGUGUGGUGCCAUGGUCUGAAAGUGGGCUCACAGGAAGGACAGACUCAGUCUCCUAUAAAAUGGAUACUCGCAUUCUCCCCGGGAUCCUGCUGUGUGAAGAGCCCCACUACUGUAGGACCAGUUUCCCCAUCUGGAAAAUGGAUCACUCUGCCCAAUCCAUCUCACUCAAGAACCAUUUUUGAAGGUAAAAUCAACAGAAGAAUAAUGGAAAAUGAAGGCUCAAAGAGAUCAUAGAAGAUGACAAAAGUGACAGAGGUUGUAAACCAGCAGAAUGGGAAUCCUAAAGUCUGCUUUUCUUUGCAACCUCUAACCCAUCACUGAGGGCAGCCAGAUAGGCUCCCACACCCCACACAGAAGGCAUUUCUCCAGCCUUGCUCCUGGUCAGCCUGAGUGCACUCCCUGACACCUUCUACCUGGCCUGGGUUCCUAUUCUUAGUCUUCACCCCUUACCCACGUAGCUGACCCUUUUGAGAGGGUCCUCAGGAUAUGCCAGGAACUGCGGUCUGAGGAUAAAAGUGAACAAAGCCACAGUUCCACUCGCUAGGAGCUCAAUUUGAAGAUGAACUUCGCAACAUUUAACUCAGUGUCUUCACCUUAAAAUGAAGAGGGUCUCCUGAAAUUAGGCAAAUAGGCUGGAUUCCUAUUGCGGGGUUUCCGUGGCCUCACUUCGUGGGCAUGUGCUCGCGGGCAGCUGCACACUGCAGGAAUUCGGACUUUGAGGGUGAUGGGUAGGGAGAGGGGUCCUUAAUCACCAAGCAAAGGUGGGUCUGAAUCCAUUGCUUCCCCAAACCCAGGGGCUUCAGUGAUCACCUGUUGUUGCUCACACAUCCGCAGGUUGGGGGAGAUUUAGCUCAUCUAGUUGGGGGCUUGGUUGGGGUCCUCUGCCUCUGGCUGCGGAUGUUGAGUUUGUGUCGAGCUUGCUCUGCUACUCUUUAAUUCUGCAUGAGGUGGACUUAAGGUCUCUUAAGUUCUGGACAUCAAACUGGUACGGCCAAGGCAAGCCAUAUGGCUGAAUUCAAAGUUAGGGACGGUGUGCACACUAUCCGGAGGGUGGAAGUGAAGCCACGGUCAUGUCUCUGGCUGUUGCUCUCACUGGUGACCUGCUGACUUGCCCCACUGGUGUGCCCAGCAGCCACCCCGCAGCUCCUUCGCUUCCACCAGACUUCUCUCUUCAGCUGCUCUGAAGCAUGGGCCAGGCUCAUGGACAGCUCCACGGGGGUAGAGAAAUCCACCAGCAAUUCUGCAGAUCUGCCUGAAUGUUGGGGACUUGGAGGCAGUGAGACACCAUAUAGGAACUAGUGCGUCCUUGUGGGCUCCAGUUGGCCAUUGCUCUGCCUCGCUUUGCAUACAGCUUUCCUUUUCAAGGGCUGGAUCCGCUGGCCUGAAGCCUGGCACCAAAGGCAAGCAUGAUGCCCUUCAAAGGACUGCUUAACUCACUCCCAAGAUCCCAGAAGAUCUCAUCCCUAUAAUAAAUCCAGCAUAUCCCUCCUUAUGAUUCUGAUUCUCUGCUGGAACACUUCCUCCUGUAGCAAGGGAAGGAUAUGUGGCCCAUGAUGAGGCCAGGGCCAGGGAGGGUAAAGAAUUGGGGCCAGUAAUGUAUUCUCCCAGGAUCACUGUGUACUCCGUACAAAGACAGGAGCUUACAUGCAAACCCUUUCUGAAUAUUUUUGUAGGGGCAAAGGCAAGUGUCCUUCCAGUUAACUUUCAGAACACAGCAACUUUAAAAACCUGUGUGUCACAUUUUGCUUAACUACAGAUUUAACCCUGCUGCACUAUCCACUUUAAAUGAUCUGAGAGACUUCCAGACAAUGACCCCUCGGGAGAAGUUACCAAUACUUCAUUAGAAAGGGAUUUUUAAAAAAUAGGCUCUCUUUUCAAUCAAAGCUGAAGGUCAGAUCGCAUUCUAACAAACGCCUCUCCAACAAAAUUAUGUAAAAUAAUUAAAUUUCUAAGGUCUAAAUCCUGACCCACUUACUUGAAAGAAUAUUUGAUAGGUUAAUAGGGUAAAUAAUUAAACAACCCUGGUCUCUUUAGAGUUCUUUUUAACAGGAUUUGAUCUUUAGUAUAAAUAAUUUCUUCUCUCAUUUGCCUACCACCAUCCUGGAUUCCCCGUUUGUUGCUGGUCGAAGCUGUGGGCUUAAGUAACACUUUAAACUGGAGCAUUUGGUGGUAUUACUGUUCUGAGAAACACACCCACGUCUCUGCUGGCGAUAGCCUGACGGUCUUACACAUCUGUUUGGAGCUCCCUCAAGCAGUCGUGCUUGAUUUGAAUCCAGAUAUAGGAUUUGCUCUGAGGAAAGAGUGAGUGAGCAAGUCUGAAUCUGCGUGCAAGGAGCCAAUGAAGGAAUCACCCAGCCACUAAGGCAGCCCUCCGUAGAUGCCCUAAGGCUCUGAAGAUCAAGUCCUAGUGCCCAUGAGAACCUUCGGUGACUCCCUCUCCAUCCAGAACCACAGAGGAAAGUGAUGGAGAAAUGUAAACAACGAAGAUCGAACUUUAAAGAGUGUUGUUCUGAAACUGUUAACAUUGUGAAUAGUACAAAGACUUGAGGACACAUUCUUCCAGUAUUAUCUGAUUCAGCAAAGUCACUGGUCCUAUUGACAAAUGAGUGAAGUUCUGACCAAAUGUCUUCAUUGUCUUACUUGUUAACAUAAACAAAAGCAGCCAACAUCUGUCAGUUGCAGACCUAGGUUGGUUAUAGAUGCAAGAAUG